ensembl:snoRNA
GUGCUCACUAGGGCUCAGUCCAUUCCAUGUAGUCUGAACCUACCCUCUAUAAGCAAGAGAAACAGGACUGGUUUGGGGGUGUCCUGUCUGACUGGACAUGGGACACCACAGUUUACAAUACAACA